rnacentral:tRNA from 1 species
CCGACCUUAGCUCAGCGGUAGAGCGGAGGACUGUAGAUCCUUAGGUCGCUCGUGCGAAUCCGGCAGGUCGGA